rnacentral:tRNA from 1 species
GCCAGGGUGGUGCAAAUGGUUAAUGAGCUCGGCUACUAACUGAAAGGUUGGUGGUUUGAGUCCACCCAUUGGCA